rnacentral:rRNA from 1 species
AUACGGAGGGUGCAAGCGUUAUUCGGAAUCACUGGGCGUAAGGGACACGUAGGCGGGAAGCCAAGUCUGAUGUGAAAUCCUACAGCUUAACUGUAGAACUGCAUUGGAAACUGGUUACCUAGAGUAUGAGAGGGGGAGAUGGAAUUAGUGGUGUAGGGGUAAAAUCCGUAGAUAUCACUAGGAAUACCUAAAGCGAAGGCGAUCUCCUGGAACAUUACUGACGCUAAGGCGUGAAAGCGUGGGGAGCAAACAGGAUUAGAAACCCUAGUAGUCC